ACAUAUUUUUGAUAUAUUGUAAAUAGCAUAGUAAAAAAUCUGUUCUUAUCAGCUUAAUAUCUGAUACGGGUUCUAUAUGGACCCACGAUAUGAAAGCUAUUUUUGGAAGUUGGCGGUGAGCUUGAAGCCUGCUUCACCUCCGCCGCAGGUCGGCCCCGUAUUGCACUACCUCCGGGAUCGGGUCCCGCUCA